CAGGCCUAACACAUGCAAGUCGAACGGCAGCACGGGUGCUUGCACCUGGUGGCGAGUGGCGAACGGGUGAGUAAUACAUCGGAAUGUACCUUGUAGUGGGGGAUAGCUCGGCGAAAGCCGGAUUAAUACCGCAUACGCUCUGAGGAGGAAAGCGGGGGACCUUCGGGCCUCGCGCUACAAGAGCAGCCGAUGUCAGAUUAGCUAGUUGGUGAGGUAAAAGCUCACCAAGGCGACGAUCUGUAGCUGGUCUGAGAGGACGACCAGCCACACUGGGACUGAGACACGGCCCAGACUCCUACGGGAGGCAGCAGUGGGGAAUUUUGGACAAUGGGCGCAAGCCUGAUCCAGCAAUGCCGCGUGUGUGAAGAAGGCCUUCGGGUUGUAAAGCACUUUUGUCCGGAAAGAAAUCCUCUGGGUUAAUACCUCGGGGGGAUGACGGUACCGGAAGAAUAAGCACCGGCUAACUACGUGCCAGCAGCCGCGGUAAUACGUAGGGUGCAAGCGUUAAUCGGAAUUACUGGGCGUAAAGCGUGCGCAGGCGGUUUUGUAAGACGGAUGUGAAAUCCCCGGGCUUAACCUGGGAACUGCAUUCGUGACUGCAAGGCUAGAGUAUGGCAGAGGGGGGUAGAAUUCCACGUGUAGCAGUGAAAUGCGUAGAGAUGUGGAGGAAUACCGAUGGCGAAGGCAGCCCCCUGGGCCAAUACUGACGCUCAUGCACGAAAGCGUGGGGAGCAAACAGGAUUAGAUACCCUGGUAGUCCACGCCCUAAACGAUGUCAACUAGUUGUUGGGGAUUCAUUUCCUUAGUAACGAAGCUAACGCGUGAAGUUGACCGCCUGGGGAGUACGGUCGCAAGAUUAAAACUCAAAGGAAUUGACGGGGACCCGCACAAGCGGUGGAUGAUGUGGAUUAAUUCGAUGCAACGCGAAAAACCUUACCUACCCUUGACAUGUACGG
rnacentral:rRNA from 1 species